rnacentral:rRNA from 1 species
UACGUAGGUGGCAAGCGUUGUCCGGAUUUACUGGGCGUAAAGAGCGCGCAGGCGGUCGGAUCAGUCGAAUGUGAAAGCCCCCGGCUCAACUGGGGAGGGUCAUUCGAUACUGUCCGACUCGAAGGCAGGAGAGGGAAGCGGAAUUCCCGGUGUAGUGGUGAAAUGCGUAGAUAUCGGAAGGAACACCAGUGGCGAAAGCGGCUUCCUGGUCCAGCACCGACGUUCAGGCACGAAAGCGUGGGGAGCAAACAGG